rnacentral:rRNA from 1 species
UACGUAGGGGGCGAGCGUUGUUCCGGAAGUUACUGGGCGUAAAGCGCACGUAGGCGGCGACAUCCAAGUUACGCUUGAAAAGUCAGCGGCUCAACUGCUGAACGAGGUGUAAGACUGGUGUGCUUGAGGCAAAUCGAGGAAUGUGGAACUCCGAGUGUAGCGGUGGAAUGCGUAGAGAUUCGGAAGAACACCCAUGGCGAAGGCAGCAUUCCAGAUUUGACCUGACGCUGAGGAGCGAAAGCCAGGGGAGCAAACGGG